rnacentral:rRNA from 1 species
AACGAACGCUGGCGGCAUGCCUAACACAUGCAAGUCGAACGAGACCUUCGGGUCUAGUGGCGCACGGGUGCGUAACGCGUGGGAACCUGCCCUUAGGUUCGGAAUAACUCUCCGAAAGGGGUGCUAAUACCGGAUAAUGUCUUCGGACCAAAGAUUUAUCGCCUUUGGAUGGGCCCGCGUUGGAUUAGCUAGUUGUUAGGGUAAAAGCCUACCAAGGCGAGGAUCCAUAGAUGGUUUGAGAGGAUGAUCAGCCACACUGGGGCUGAGACACGGCCCGGACUCCUACGGGAGGCAGCAGUGGGGAAUAUUGGAAAAUGGGCGAAAGCCUGAUCCAGCAAUGCCGCGUGAGUGAUGAAGGCCUUAGGGUUGUAAAGCUCUUUUACCCGGGAUGAUAAUGACAGUACCGGGAGAAUAAGCUCCGGCUAACUCCGUG